UGAAAGGUGUUUGCUACUAGAGCCGCAUUUGUCCAAAGAACAGGUACAGGAUGGGCGGCAGCAGCAGGACAAACUCCCACACUACCUUGCCAGUUCGCCUCAACCCUGAUUGGGAGGGAUCGCUAGGAAUAAGCGUAGAUUAGUUCUCAUGGCCCAUUGGCCUCUCAAGACU
rnacentral:sRNA from 1 species